GCAGCCAUAGUCUAGUGGUCAGGAUGCGACCCUUCCAAGGUUGCGACUCGGGUUCGAAUCCCGAUGGCUGCA
rnacentral:tRNA from 1 species